rnacentral:rRNA from 1 species
GUAGGCUGAAACUCGCCUACAUGAAGCUGGAGUUGCUAGUAAUCGCGAAUCAGCAUGUCGCGGUGAANAUUCCCGGGCCUUGUACACACCGCCCGUCACACCAUGAGAGUUGGCAAUACCCAACGUACGUGAUCUAACCCGCAAGGGAGGAAGCGUCCUAAGGUAGGGUCAGCGAUUGGGGUGAAGUCGUAACAAGGUAAC